rnacentral:tRNA from 1 species
UCUAAUAUGGCAGAAUAGUGCAUUGGAUUUAAACCCCAAUUAUAAAGGUUACUUUUUUUAGAA